rnacentral:rRNA from 1 species
UACGGGGGGGGCAAGCGUUGUUCGGAAUUACUGGGCGUAAAGGGCUCGUAGGUGGCCAACUAAGUCAUACGUGAAAUCCCUCGGCUUAACCGGGGAACUGCGUCUGAUACUGGAUGGCUUGAGGUUGGGAGAGGGAUGCGGAAUUCCAGGUGUAGCGGUGAAAUGCGCAGAUAUCAGGAAGAACACCCGUGGCGAAGGCGGCUCUCUGGUACGUGACUGACGCUGAGACGCGAAAGCGUGGGGAGCAAACAGG